rnacentral:rRNA from 1 species
AUACCCUAUUAUUUUUAUUGUAAAAUUUUAAGUCAGAGUAUUAGUAGAUAUGGUCUUUAAACUUAAAGAAUUUGGCGGUAUUAUAGUCUAUUUAGAGGAAUCUGUUAUAUAAUCGAUAAUCCACGUUGAACCUUACUUAUAUAAAUUCUUGUAUACCGCUGUUUAAGAAUAUACUUUUAGGUGUAUUUUCAAGAUAUAAUAAUAAUUAAAAUUUCAAGUCAAGGUGCAGUUAUAUAUAAGUUGAAUAAUGGAUUACAAUAAAUUUUAUUUAUUAUGGAUUAUUACUAAAUAAGUAAUUUGAAGGUGGAUUUAAUUGUAAUUUUAUAAAGAUUAUUAAAAUGAUUUAUAGCUCUAUAAUAUGCACACAUCGCCC